GGCACGAAGUAAUGUCGCAUCAGCAAAUAACAUCUUUAGUAAACACCAAUCUGGAUUGUCAGAAAUUUUAAAAUCUAAUUAAAUACAACAAUGCAUGUCUCUUAGAAAAAAAUAUUUAAUUUCUUCAGGCAACCUAUAAGCUUAAGACUAUUACAAUAGCAAGUUAUAUCAAGGACUUUUGUUGUGGGAUAUGCAAUAUAGCCAUGG